UAAUAAGUAAUAACUAUUAGUUACUUUGUGGACGUCAUCUUUAUUGUGUUUUGUAAUUCCAAUCAUGCCCGCUAAGUGUUGUGCUCCAGGGUAUAGAAAGGGCUAUGACAACGAGCCACAACAAUCCGGUGAUACGAUCUAUCUGUGGGCAAACAAAGACAGAAACCCUGGACUGCCUUGCUGAGAGCCAUUCCAAGAGAAACACAUCUCACGAAGACAGAUGAGGCACCAUCCAAAAGUACAAAGCUGUGUUCCCUGCAUUUCAACGACUCUGAUUUCAUCUGUGAGUCUAAAAGAAGUGAGACCCUUGUCAAGGCUCUAAAGAAGAGGUACCUCAAAGCAGAUUUAGUACCAUCCCUAUGGCCAAACUCAAGCUGCGACCACGUCACGUAGGGCUCAACAGUUCAAUGACCUACAACAGCAUCUGGAAUUUGAACUCUUGAUAGAGGAGUCAGUCCCCUUUGUGAAAGAACUUUGUGACAAAUUGGCCAAGGAGACACUCCCAUUAGGCUUCAUCCUAAUCACAAAACCAAGUGUUGUCCUUUUGAAGCUAUCCCAUGAUGAUAAAUUGGGCCCCCAAGUAGUAGCCAGCAUCCAGUUUGAGACAGAUGUUUUAUUUAAAAUGUACCACACUGGUGUGUUGAUUGACACACAUCACCUCAGAAGGCAAGGUCAACACUGUUAUUCAAGCCAUCAAUUUGGCUUCCUUUCUGCGAGGAAAAGAAGAAUUGGAUCCAACAGAGACCUAGGAAGACAUUCUCAACGAGUUAGUGAAGUUUCUCAACUCCUCAGAUACACCUGGAGUUGCCUACGAAAAGAGAGAUGAGCUUCGAGAACCAAUCUCUGGGAAGAGCAAAAUUGGCCUCUCUUUUUUGAGAGAUUUUGUCGACUUUCUCAUUGAGUGGCAAACAGUAAAGCACCUGGCCUCACAGCAAAAUCUUCCUAGCAUCAAAGUAGACGUGCCUUGCACAGGCAGAUCUAGCAGAGUAUCUUAUCCUAGAUGAAUACUUCUCCUAUUUACUUCUCGGCAUGUCCCAGUCUGAUCCUAUUGAAAGAAGGUUCGGCUGGUACAGACAACUAAGUAGAGGUAUCUACUACAUCAUCGUGAGGCAGAUCCUGGAAGCAGAGAAAAAGAUUCGUAUUCUGAGUGUUGUCAAAUUCUCAGGUAUGACUACUUCAGAAAUUAAAGGUAUGCUGGAUGAAGAACUGCUAAAAGCUGAGCCCAUUUUGACUAACUGGCAAUCAGAUGACCUCCAGGAACUAGCUUCCAAGGGAGAGAGUAAUGCUUUCUACUUUGUUGCCGGAUAUAUUGGUUUUUCUUUGAAGACACACCUCCAGACUCAAUAACCUUCGAUAGGCCAACCAAUCAGCAUGUAGACCUGAAAGAGUUCAUUGACAUAAUGAGCAGAGGGGGUUGUCUACUCCAUCCGACCUUCUCUACCUCUCCUGUCUUUAUGUUCCCUACAUGUGCUCUUACCUCACAGCUACUCCUGAAGAGAAAGACAGUUUACUUGGCACCUCAAAUCCUAAAGCUUCAUUUGUUGCCACAUUCAUUGAUAGGAUGCAGGACAGUUUAAACUCUGGCAUUAUCGCCGUUGUGGGAGUAAAGUGUGAGGAAGGACACUCCUGGUGAGCUUUUCUUCAAAGAAUUUCAUUCACUUUGUUUAAUGUCAUGGGUAAAAAUUUAAGUGCUAAACUGAAUGAUGGCAUCCGAUUUUUAACAAAAGGAGAAUGGCAGCAAAUAAUUCAGAAGUUAAUAGAAAAAAAAAAGCUAAAUUUCAAUCAAAAUCUUCUGACUUGUAGACUUGGACCAACUUUGUACUUUUUGUUAGUGCUUUUUCUUUUUUAUAUGUUUUUAAUGUUUAUUUUGAUUUAAGUACCAAUAAAAUACCACUUU
rnacentral:lncRNA from 1 species